GACGGGACCGCACAAGCGGUGGAUGAUGUGGUUUAAUUCGAUGCAACGACGAAAACCUUACCCACCUUUGACAUGGCAGGAAUCCCGAAGAGAUUUGGGAGUGCUCGAAAGAGAACCUGCACACAGGUGCUGCAUGGCUGUCGUCAGCUCGUGUCGUGAGAUGUUGGGUUAAGUCCCGCAACGAGCGCAACCCUUGCCAUUAGUUGCUACGAAAGGGCACUCUAAUGGGACUGCCGGUGACAAACCGGAGGAAGGUGGGGAUGACGUCAAGUCCUCAUGGCCUUUAUGACCAGGGCUACACACGUACUACAAUGGCCGGUACAAAGGGCAGCGACACAGCGAUGUGAAGCCAAUCCCGAAAAGCCGGUCUCAGUCCGGAUUGGAGUCUGCAACUCGACUCCAUGAAGUUGGAAUCGCUAGUAAUCGCGGAUCAGCACGCCGCGGUGAAUACGUUCCCGGGCCUU
rnacentral:rRNA from 1 species